rnacentral:misc_RNA from 1 species
AAAUAAAUAAAUAAAUAAAAGAAUGCCUUGACACAAAAUGACCCCUAUUUUUAUCCGAAACAAUAAAUCUACAACUAAUUUAGCUCAAGUCAACCACAGUUCAUAACUUCAUUUCUUAAAGAUUAAGCACGCAUACAAUUUUAAGAAGCUGCUACUUCAAAGGCUUUCCUGUUUUAGUUGCAACUCUAAAAUCAUUAUGAAACUAGUGCAGAAUCAUAUUUACUUACACAUUUCAUAUAUUGAUAUGCAAUAUCUACUACAAAAACAUCAUGGAUUCGUAAAAAUAGGAAACACCAUCUGACCAUCAAGUGGAUAAUUAUAUGUUACCU